CUACGGGCGGCUCCAGUGGGGAAUAUUGCACAAUGGGCGCAAGCCUGAUGCAGCCAUGCCGCGUGUAUGAAGAAGGCCUUCGGGUUGUAAAGUACUUUCAGCGGGGAGGAAGGGAGUAAAGUUAAUACCUUUGCUCAUUGACGUUACCCGCAGAAGAAGCACCGGCUAACUCCGUGCCAGCAGCCGCGGUAAUACGGAGGGUGCAAGCGUGUAAUCGGAAUUACUGGGCGUAAAGCGCACGCAGGCGGUUUGUUAAGUCAGAUGUGAAAUCCCCGGGCGCAACCUGGGAACUGCAUCUGAUACUGGCAAGCUUGAGUCUCGUAGAGGGGGGUAGAAUUCCAGGUGUAGCGGUGAAAUGCGUAGAGAUCUGGAGGAAUACCGGUGGCGAAGGCGGCCCCCUGGACGAAGACUGACGCUCAGGUGCGAAAGCGUGGGGAGCAAACAGGAUUAGAUACCCGGGUAGUC
rnacentral:rRNA from 1 species